AGGCCGGAAGCUGAGGCCGCGAGCCGGCCGCCGGCGCGCGCCCGCCCCGCCCCCGCCUCACGCGACCCGGGGACACGAGGGAGUCCGCGCGGGACCUGGGAAGACCGCCGCGUUCUUGGGAGGCCCUCCGCGCCCAGGCUGGGUCGACGACCCGGCCCCGCAAGCCGAGGGCCGCCCGCGCUCAUGGGGGGGCUCACUUACGAGAGCUAUGGUCGCCGUCGCCAUCUUGCGUCCGUCGCGGCCUCCGCGCGCGCCUCCCACUCUUGCUCCUUCCGCUGUCUCGCGCGAUCUGGGUGCCGGUGCACGGAACUCUCGCGAGGAAGGAGGGAACCGAUGACCCUAGGUUGGCUGACAUCAGUCGCUAGACCCGCAGCCCGCAGGCCCCGUUAGUCCCUGAACUGGCUUUCAUGGCCCAAGGUGUCUGUCAGUACUGCUGGGAAAGCUGCCUGUCCUGGACAUUUGCCAUCUGCUGCACCCAGUCCCGAGACCCCAACUCGGUCAUCCGAAGAAGCCACAUCUGUAAGCUCAGGCACCUUCAGCUGCCUAAGGCCACAAGGCAUCCCGGGCAGGCCUCCUUUCAACCCUGGGAACAUUUAGAAUUUAAUACAGACACUUCUACUUAAAUAGGGCAGAAUAUUCCCCGCCUCCCUCCUGAAACCUUCCAAAAUUAUAGGAAAGGGGUUUUAUAAAGACAAACCCUGCAAGGGCAAAGAGCUGGGAUAUUGCAGAGCUUAAGAAAGGUGGACAGCGAGAGCUACUCCAGCCCACUUGGCUAUGGAGGCCAGUGUCUGAGGGUCGUGGGUGAAAGCACAGCUACAGAAAGGAAACCCCAGACCUCUGUCCCUACCCACCGGGGCUGGCAGGCACUGCAGUGUCUGAGACGUGAGCUCCAGGAGAGGAGCUCUGAGGCCCUGCUCAAGCAAGGCCCUGUCUGAAAGCCUGGGAGUAAGUGAGACUCUGGGUCCUACCCCUGCCUCCACCCCUGGGCUGGGUCUGACCACCCGCAUGCCAUCAGGCUUCUCAGAGAAGAGGGCUCCUCUCUGCAGCAGCUCCUAGCUCAAAAGAAAAGACUGGCAGGGCACCUAGGGGUAGAGUGUUGCCCAGUAGAAUGGCCCAGCCAGAUCCCUGGCCUCGAAGCUCACCAGGUCAUAAGCCCCAGCCACUAAAAGCAUCUCACUCUUCAAUGCAGCUGGACAGCCCAGGAUCACCAGACACCUGAGAAAGAAGAAAAGGGACUCAGAAGAAACAGAGACGAUAAAGGAAGCCGAAGAAAAAUGAAAACUAAAAUGCCAUUCUCAGUCAAUAAAAAGGAACUGGGGGCUAUAGAGAAAGAAACCUCGGGAUGAGAAAGAGCUCUUAGAAAUAAAACAUGAGGGGAAAGUGAGCAAUUCAAUAGGCUUUUAAGAUGAAGUCUUCCAGAAUGUAUAAUGACAGAACCAGAUAGCUGGAAAACAGAAUAGCAGUAACACAGGUGGGUGCUCUUAGGGCUAGCCUGGCACACAAGGCCUCCACAAUGGAGGGGGUGGAUGGGAGGUGGGGGGCUGGUCUGCCACCACCACCAGGGGAAGCCACAGGCACCACCCUCUGGGGACAGCUUCCCUUGGCAAUAAUGUGCACGCAGGAUGCAUGGUGCCCAGGACUGUUCUUACACACAUUCAUUCAUGGGAUCCUCACAACCCAGUGCUAUGCAAUGGAUACAGCUGUUACCCCAUUUUUACUGAUGGGCAACAUCACAAGGCAGGGAGCAGCAGUAGAAUGGCUCCAGAGCCUGUGUUCUUGCCACCACCAUGACUGCAUCUCAAAAGAGAAGUCCAGGUCAGGCACAGUGGCUCAUGCCUGCCUUCCCAGCACUUCAGGAGGCUGAGGCAGGAGUAUCACUUGGGCCCAGGGGUUCAAGACCAGCUUGGGCAAUAUAGUGAGGCCACGUCUCUACAAAAAGUAAUUUUAAAAAACCAGCUGGGCAUGGUGGCACACGCCUGUAGUCCUAGCUACUAGAGAGGCUAAGGUGGGAGGAUUGCUGGAGCCCAGAAGGUGGAGGUUGCAGUGCCCUGUGAUCACACCACUGCACUCCAGCCUGGGUGACAGAGCCAGACCCUGUCUCAAAAAAACAACAAAAACUCAACAGAAGUCCAACAUCUAAAUAAAUUGUCCAGAAAAUAAGGAAAUGAGAGAAAUCAGCAGAGAUAAAUCAAGAAAAUUUCCUAGAACCAAACAGUCAUGUUUUCUGAACAAUGGGUGAAAGGGAAGUUGUAUAUCAAGACACAUCAUUGAGAAUUACCCAAGUAAUGGGGCAAAGAAAAAGAAGAGAUCAUAGGUAAAGAGUCAGAAUUCAGGAAGGCACAAGAGUUCUUGGAACUAGAAGAAAAUGACACAAUACCCUUGAAAUCCUGGGAAUAAAUGAUUUUCAACCAAGCCAAGCUUUUUGUAGCUAGUCGCACUGUUAAGCAUAUGUGAGGUUAGCAUAAAGACUGUGGGGAAAAGCAAGAGAGAUCAGAUUGUUACUGUGUCUGUGUAGAAAGUAGUAGACAUAGGAGACUCCAUUUUGUUUUGUACUAAGGAAAAUUCUUCUGCCUUGAGACUCUGUUAAUCUAUGACCUUACCCCCAACCCCGUGCUCUCUGAAACAUGUGCUGUGUCAACUCAGAGUUGAAUGGAUUAAGGGCGGUGCAAGAUGUGCUUUGUUAAACAGAUGCUUGAAGGCAGCAUGCUCCUUAAGAGUCAUCACCACUCCCUAAUCUCAAGUACCCAGGGACACAAAAACUGCGGAAGGCCGCAGGGACCUCUGCCUAGGAAAGCCAGGUAUUGUCCAAGGUUUCUCCCCAUGUGAUAGUCUGAAAUAUGGCCUCGUGGGAUGGGAAAGACCUGACCGUCCCCCAGCCCGACACCCGUAAAGGGUCUGUGCUGAGGAGGAUUAGUAAAAGAGGAAGGAAUGCCUCUUGCAGUUGAGACAAGAGGAAGGCAUCUGUCUCCUGCCCGUCCCUGGGCAAUGGAAUGUCUCCAUAUAAAACCUGAUUGCAUGCUCCAUCUACUGAGAUAGGGAAAAACCGCCUUAGGGCUGGAGGUGGGACCUGCGGGCAGCAAUACUGCUUUGUAAAGCAUUGAGAUGUUUAUGUGUAUGCAUAUCUAAAAGCACAGCACUUAAUCGUUUACAUUGUCUAUGAUGCAAAGACCUUUGUUCACGUGUUUGUCUGCUGACCCUCUCCCCACUAUUGUCUUGUGACCCUGACACAUCCCCCUCUUCGAGAAACACCCACAAAUGAUCAAUAAAUACUAAGGGAACUCAGAGGCUGGCGGGAUCCUCCAUAUGCUGAACGCUGGUUCCCCGGGUCCCCUUAUUUCUUUCUCUAUACUUUUGUCUCUGUGUCUUUUUCUUUCCUAAGUCUCUUGUUCCACCUUACGAGAAACACCCACAGGUGUGGAGGGGCAACCCACCCCUACAAAGACAAACAGGUAAAGACUCCACAACUUCCUAUGCACCCUCUCAGGAAACCUGGAGGAUGGUCCUUCUCAAACAGGGCAAAUGAAGGAAGAGGAAAGCAGUACAGGACACUGGUGAAGAGUUAACCCAUGCUGACCACUGGGCUGUAAGUCCAAGAACAAGUAGCCUGGGCAGGGGGCUUGUAUGGUGGGGGCUCCAGGAAAAGAAGAAACUGAGCAGUCAGUUAUGUGAUGAGUCCUAAGCUGUGACAGGAUGCUCAUGCUUCUUCAGGAAAGUCUAAAGAUGAAUCAAUGACAAACACAUAUAGAAAACUAGGCAAACCAAAAAAAAGGCAAUUAUUAACUCCAGGGAAAACAAAAAGUUGUGCAAGAAAUGCCAUCCUAGAACACCGUGUUCUCUCCUGAGACGUGUGGUAAUGAAGCUGUAAUAACACCCAUGCAGCUAUGAUGCCCGUAACACUGGAAUGAUGCCGCCAGGAGACUGAGGCAGGUGACCGCCCUCCUCCCAGAGGAUGCCAGCCAGGGACAUCUAAUGUAGAAAAACGAAUAAACAGGACUAAAAGCAUGCUCA
rnacentral:lncRNA from 1 species